UACAGAGGGGGCAAGCGUUAUUCGGGAUUAUUGGGCGUAAAGGGCGCGUCGGCGGCUUCGCAAGUGGAAGGUGAAAUCCCUCAGCUUAACUGGGGAACUGCGUCUGAGACUGGCGAGCUUGAGUGCAGGAGAGGAACGCGGAAUUCCAGGUGUAGCGGUGAAAUGCGUAGAUAUCGGGAAGAACACCCGUGGCGAAGGCGGUUCUCUGGGACGGUACUGACGCUGAGACGCGAAAGCGUGGGGAGCGAACAGG
rnacentral:rRNA from 1 species